UUUAUAUAUUUGCUUGUUUCUCUGACGAUACAUAAUCAAGAGUAUGAAAGUCUCCGGCGAGCUCACAUUGCCGGCGCAGACCCUUUGCCCUAGAGCGCCAGGUCUCCGACCGCCAAUGGCUGCGUACAGCGUCUCGCCGAAGCAACAGUCUAUAGCCAAGGGUGGGAAUUCCUGCAGAGCAGGAAAGCCGUUAAUGAUCCUUCCGCAGGUUCACCUACGGAAA
rnacentral:misc_RNA from 1 species